GACGAACGCUGGCGGCGUGCUUAACACAUGCAAGUCGAACGGAAAGGCCCUGCUUUUGUGGGGUGCUCGAGUGGCGAACGGGUGAGUAACACGUGAGUAACCUGCCCUUGACUUUGGGAUAACUUCAGGAAACUGGGGCUAAUACCGGAUAGGAGCUCCUGCUGCAUGGUGGGGGUUGGAAAGUUUCGGCGGUCGGGGAUGGACGCGCGGCUUAUCAGCUUGUUGGUGGGGUAGUGGCUGACCAAGGCUUUGACGGGUAGCCGGCCUGAGAGGGUGACCGGCCACAUUGGGACUGCGAUACGGCCCAGACUCCUACGGGGGGCAGCAGUGGGGAAUAUUGCACAAUGGGCGGAAGCCUGAUGCAGCAACGCCGCGUGCGGGAUGACGGCCUUCGGGUUGUAAACCGCUUUCGCCUGUGACGAAGCGUGAGUGACGGUAAUGGGUAAAGAAGCACCGGCUAACUACGUG
rnacentral:rRNA from 1 species